rnacentral:rRNA from 1 species
AUUGAACGCUGGCGGCAUGCCUUACACAUGCAAGUCGAACGGCAGCACGGGUGCUUGCGCCUGGUGGCGAGUGGCGAACGGGUGAGUAAUACAUCGGAACAUGUCCUGUAGUGGGGGAUAGCCCGGCGAAAGCCGGAUUAAUACCGCAUACGAUCCACGGAAGAAAGCGGGGGGCCUUCGGGACUCGCGCUAUAGGGUUGGCCGAUGGCUGAUUAGCUAGUUGGUGGGGUAAAGGCCUACCAAGGCGACGAUCAGUAGCUGGUCUGAGAGGACGACCAGCCACACUGGGACUGAGACACGGCCCAGACUCCUACGGGAGGCAGCAGUGGGGAAUUUUGGACAAUGGGCGAAAGCCUGAUCCAGCAAUGCCGCGUGUGUGAAGAAGGCCUUCGGGUUGUAAAGCACUUUUGUCCGGAAAGAAAUCCUUGGCUCUAAUACAGUCGGGGGAUGACGGUACCGGAAGAAUAAGCACCGGCUAACUACGUG